GACGGGCAGCUUCCCGGAAACGAAAGUUUUUCGGUUCCGGGGGAAGUAUGGUUGCAAAGCUGAAACUUAAAGAAAUUGACGGAAGGGCACCACCAGGAGUGGAGCCUGCGGCUUAAUUUGACUCAACACGGGAAAACUCACCUGGCCCGGACACCGUGAGGAUUGACAGAUUGAGAGCUCUUUCAUGAUUCGGUGGUUGGUGGUGCAUGGCCGUUCUUAGUUGGUGGAGUGAUUUGUCUGGUUUAUUCCGAUAACGAGCGAGACUCUAGCCUACUAAAUAGUUACUGGAUAAUUUUGUCCASACWACUUCUUAGAGGGASAAGCGGUGUUUAGCCGCAUGAAGUUGAGCAAUAACASGYCUGUGAUGCCCUUAUAUGUCCAGGGCUGCACKCSCGCUACUCUGAAGGAAUCUGCGUGCUGUAACCAUUACCSAAGGGUAMUGKUAACCCCUUGAAAAUCCUCCGUGAUCGGGAUCGGGAAUUGCWAUUAUUUCCCUUGAACRARGAAUUCCUAGUAARUGUGAGUCAUCAGCYCACGUUGAUUACGUCCCUGCCCUUUGUACACACCGCCMGUCGCUGCCCGGSACUGAGCCKUUUCKAGAAAAGCGGRGACUGCUGUU
rnacentral:rRNA from 1 species